GUAAAAUUUGAUUCUAGUUUAUAAGUUUAAUUAAUAUUUUAUUUAUAUGUAAAUAUGUGUAGUUAAUUAUUUAAAGAAUAGUUAUUAUUGUGCAAUAAUUAAGAUUUUACAAUAAUAGAAAUAUUGAUAAAGAAGUAUAUUUUAGUAUCGAUAAAAUUUGUGCCAGCAAUCGCGGUUAUACAAAUGAUACAAUUAAACUUUAUUUGAUAAUAAUUAAUAGUAAAAAAAAUUAAUUUAAAAUUUAAUUUAUAAUAAGUGAAAUUAGAAAUUAAUAUAAGGUUAAUUAAUAAUAAUUUAAUUAUGAAGUUAUGAAAUUCUAUUAAUAAACUAGGAUUAGAUACCCUAUUAUAGAGAGCGUAAAAAUUUUAUAUCAAAGUAGUAUUAGUUAUGUUCUUGAAAUUUAAAGAAUUUGGCGGUAUUUUAGUCUUUUUAGAGGAACCUGUUCUAUAAUCGAUAGUCCACGAUUAAUUGUACUUAAUUUAUAUAAGUUUAUAUAUCGUCGUAGUUGAAUUUUUCAUAAGAAUAUAUAAUAUUCAUGAUUUAUAAUUAAAUAAAAAAAAUCAGAUCAAGGUAUAGCUUAUAAUUAAGAAAGUAAUGGGUUACAAUAAAAUUAUUUAUAUGGUUAUAGUAUUUAAAAAUAUUAUAUAAAGUGGAUUUAAAAGUAAUGUAUUUUAGUUAAUAUUCAUGAUUUUAGCUCUAAAAUGUGCACAUAUCGCCCGUCGCUUUCAUUAAAAUUAAAUAUAUAAAUAUUUAAUAAAAAUGAAAUAAGUCGUAACAUAGUAGGUGUACUGGAAAGUGUAUCUGGAAAGAU
rnacentral:ncRNA from 1 species